rnacentral:siRNA from 1 species
GGGGGUGCUCUUAGUUACCCA